AUUGAACGCUGGCGGCAUGCUUUACAUAUGCAAGUCGAACGGUAACAGGCCGCAAGGUGCUGACGAGUGGCGAACGGGUGAGUAAUGCAUCGGAACGUGCCCAGUCGUGGGGGAUAACGCAGCGAAAGCUGUGCUAAUACCGCAUACGAUCUAUGGAUGAAAGCGGGGGACCUUAAGGCCUCGCGCGAUUGGAGCGGCCGAUGUCAGAUUAGGUAGUUGGUGGGGUAAAGGCCUACCAAGCCAACGAUCUGUAGCUGGUCUGAGAGGACGACCAGCCACACUGGGACUGAGACACGGCCCAGACUCCUACGGGAGGCAGCAGUGGGGAAUUUUGGACAAUGGGCGCAAGCCUGAUCCAGCAAUGCCGCGUGCAGGAAGAAGGCCUUCGGGUUGUAAACUGCUUUUGUACGGAACGAAACGGUCUGGGUUAAUACCCCGGGCUAAUGACGGUACCGUAAGAAUAAGCACCGGCUAACUACGUGCCAGCCGCCGCCGUAACAC
rnacentral:rRNA from 1 species